rnacentral:rRNA from 1 species
AUUGAACGCUAGCGGGAUGCUUUACACAUGCAAGUCGAACGAGUGGCGGACGGGUGAGUAAUAUAGCGGAACGUGCCCAGUAGAGGGGGCAAACUACUCGAAAGAGUGGCUAAUACCGCAUACUAUGCGAUCGGCCGAUAUCGGAUUAGCUAGUUGGGGGGGAAAAGGCUCACCAAGGCAACGAGCCGUAGCUGGUUUGAGAGGACGACCAGCCACACUGGGACUGAGACACGGCCCAGACUCCUACGGGAGGCAGCAGUGGGGAAUCUUGGACAAUGGGCGAAACCCUGAUCCAGCCAUCCCGCGUGUAUGAGAAGGCCUUCGGGUUGUAAAGCACUUUUGGCAGAGAAGCGGUAUCUGCAGAAUAAGCACCGGCUAACUACGUGCCAGCAGCCGCGGUAAUUC